CAGAUUCCCCCGCCGCCCAAAUUUGAUUUCACAAAGCCAGAAGAGUGGCCCAAAUGGAUUCGGAGGUUUGAGAGAUUUCGGAUUGCAUUGGGUCUAGCGCUACAGUCAGAGGAGAACCAGGAAGCCUACCUGCAGCAGGGGUAAUACUAGAGUGGCAGGUAAUAUGACGCCUGCCUGGGGUAAUGCUGUCUACUUGAGGGGAACAUUUUCUGGAUUGGAACACUCCACUUACUAGGACAAACAAAAUGCCACUGGACAAGAAAUGCCGGCCUUCCUCAGCUGCAGCGAAAAUGGAGACUAAAAAAAUAUCCAGCAUUUUCUCCGAUGUCGAUGGGCUUGCUGAAGUGUGUAUGGCGAAGGGCAUAGGAAUCAGAACAGAAGUAGAUGGUAUACCUCCUCGAGUUGCCCCUUU